AGUAGGCACAGGCACCCCGGGCUCCUGGCACAUGUGUCAUGCACCUGCCCUCCUCUCUUGGCCCUGGGGAGAUCUCUGGCCCCACCUCUAGGGGGAUUUAACUGUUCCUGGGCUUGAGGAGCCUGGCUGAUACUGCUUCCCUGGGACAGAGGCAUUGUGACACAGCUGUGGAACCUGAUGAUGUCACCGCCACCCAGCAGGCUCCCUGUACAUCAACUGGCAGUUGGAGGAUACCAGACGCAGCUGGGUUGGUUUUCUAGACUGGAGGUGGACAGAUUCCAGGUAGAGGUGGGUGGGAGCUGCUCUCCUUGUGCCCAGAGCAGGGGCCAGUGACUAUGAGGCAAGUGGUGCUGACCUCUCAGGGCUGCUGCCCACUGUGAUGGCAGCUGAGCACUCAGCAGCCCAUUGUGUGCUGUGUAUACAGUUGUCUCAUAAUUCCUCCCAGUGACCCAGUGGGGUGCGUGAGAACCUGUCCCUGGUGUGAGUCUGUGCUGGGAGAUGGGUUGUGGGUGGGUGAUCAGGUCAGCGCUGACAGCUGGGGCAGCUUGUUCUGCUGUGGGUGCACCAGAGAUGUGGACACUCUGUCUGGGAGUUGGCUGAGGAGGCUCCUUCCUCCUGUCCCCUCCGGGUAGAGGGACAGGGGCUGCCCCCGCUAGCCUGCCUUGUGUCCGCGUCUCCUGGACCAGAUCGCUCUUGGUUUCUGAGUACUGGGUGCCGCUGGUCUGGCUGUGAAGUCAUUUCUCACUGUGAUUAGAGGGCCAGAAGCCUAAGGGAGCCAGCCUGUGGUUCUCGGCAGGUGUGUCAUGCUUGCAUCUUGGUGUUGCAGCUUGGAAAUUGGAAGCCCUUGAGAUUCUGGUGGCCUCGGAGUGAGCAGUUACCAUUAGCUAGUAUCUGUAUAGGUGUAGGCCUGGCAGCUGCCUGCUGGUGCCCUGGUCACAGUGUCUGGACUCCUUCAGUCUGCAAGAGAGGUCAGAGCUGUCCUGUUUCCUGCUGGGGCCUUGGUCUGCUACCCAGGUCCCAUGGGGGCUGCAGGGUUGCUGGUGAUGCCCUGAGAAGAGAAAGACGAGCCGCCCUGCCCCUUGGCAGGCAGGCGGAGGACCAACACUUCAGUGAGCCGUCUGCACCACCUCAUCUCAGGACAGGUGAGUGCCCCAUCGCCAUCUGACAGGGGUGUGAAGUCUGUGUCCUCAAGCGCAGGUAAGUUGAAUGCUGCAACUUCAGGUUGUGGAAUGUGGAACACCCUGUCUGCACUGGAUGGAAGCGAACGCCAUGUCCUCUCCUAAAUGAAGGUACUGUUGUCAGGUGGGAGGUGUGAAUACAAUUUCACCUGAUGGAAGGCUGAAUGCGAUUUUACCAAAUGACAGUCAUGUUAACAUCCUGCUUUCCCAUGAAUGCCCUGAACUGAUUUGAUGGAAGGAUGAAUGCACUAUUCUUCACUGGUGGAAGGAUAAUCACAUUGUGCUCAUUUGAGGUGUGUUGAAUGCCUUCUCACCCGAUGGAAAAUCCAGGCCCAGGUACUGACUCCAUAGUAAGCAGAAGGUUGUGUCUGCAUGUGGGACAGAGUGAAGGCCCUGUCUUCACAUCAUGACAGGCUGAAUGCAAAUCAUCAAGGGAUGGUGGAGUGAAGGCCCUGUCUUCAGUGAUGAAAAGGAGAACUCCAUCCC
ensembl:lncRNA